rnacentral:rRNA from 1 species
UACGUAAGGGGCAAGCGUUGUCCGGAUUUAUUGGGCGUAAAGAGCGUGUAGGCGGUUAGGUAGGUCCGUUGUGAAAACUCGAGCUCAACCUCGAGACGCCGAUGGAAACCCCCUAACUAGAGUCCGGAAGAGGACGAGUGGAAUCCUGGUGUAGCGGUUGAAAGUGCGCAGAUAUCAGGAAGAACACCCGUGGCUAAGGCGGCUCUCUAGUACGGUACUGACGCUGAGACGCGAAAGCGGUGGGGAGCGAACAGG